UUGUGGCAGCCAUUUUUAGAUCCCUGGCUGCCUUUAUAACCAGAUCAGUUCCCUGCUGGCAGGGAGGUAGUAACAUUGCCUGGCUGUGAGGCUUCAUGUAUCAUCCUGGAGAUCCAAGGCUGCCACCUGGUCCCCAUCCUGCUGGCCGGACCCUGGCAGGGACACAGAACGUGCUCCAGGACAUCACUGCUGGGGUCGCCAUCACCUUCCUGGCCACCUCUGGGCCCACCACGUCAGCCAGAACUGGUGGCUGCAUGUCAUCUAGCACAGCUGGGACAAGCAGUGACUGGAGGUGUUCAGGAUGACCCAAGCCACCUUUUGGUUGCUCCUGGAGCAGCUAUGCCCACACCUGUAGUGGCAGGACACCAACAUGCAGCAGCCCUUCCCCACAGACACCUGGCUGACCUUCACCCUACUGAAGCUGGCCACACCCACCAGCCUCUGCUACGUGGGCCACCUCUUUGAUGUGGGCAAGGGCAAUGCUGGGAAGGCUGUCCUGGAGGUUUGCAGGACCCUCCAGGACAUACUAGGGCACACUGCUCCGUGUGGAUGACUCCCUGGUAGUGGGGUUCCGUGCCCUGAUAUUCUCCCAGUGCAUCCAUGCCCUGGACAGGACCCACAUCCCCAUUACCUGCCCGCCCCAAAGCAACUGCCCCUAGUACAGCCAGAGGGGCUUUCACUCGGUUGUGCUCCAAGCUGUUGUUGACCGCCGUGGCGCCUUCACCAAUGUGAGUGCUGGCUAGGCAGGCAGUGCCCACAAUGCCCACGUGUUUCAGAACUCCACCCUGCCAGCCCUGGUGCAGAGCAGCCACUUUGUGCCAGGGGUAUCAGACCUGCAACUGGAUGCAGCGGUGGUCCUGCUCCACUUUAUU